UUUAAAGUCUAAUCUGCCCUAUGAGGAAUUAAAUGGCCGCGGUACUCUGACCGUGCAAAGGUAGCAUAAUAAUUAGUUUUUUAAUUGAAAGCUGGAAUGAAUGAUUGGACGAGAAAAUUACUGUCUCAGUAUAGUUUAAUUAGAAUUUUAUUUUUAAGUAAAAAAGCUUAAAUUUUUUUAAAAGACGAGAAGACCCUAUAGAGUUUUAUAUUUGAUUAAAUAUGGGUUUUUAAGAAUUUUUUUAAUUUGUAUUUAUGAUAAUAUUUUGUUGGGGUGAUAGAAAAAUUUAAUAAACUUUUUUUUAUUUUUAAACAUUGAUUUAUGAUUAAUUGAUCCAAUAUUUUUGAUUAUAAGAUUAAAUUACCUUAGGGAUAACAGCGUAAUUUUUUUUUAGAGUUCUUAUCGAAAGAAAAGAUUGCGACCUCGAUGUUGGAUUAAAAUAAACGUUUGGUGUAGAAGCUAAAUAGUUAGGUCUGUUCGACCUUUAAAAUUUUACA
rnacentral:rRNA from 1 species